CCAGAGAAGAGAUGGUGAGAUGGCGCUGGGAGUCACUGCUGCUGUGGGGUGUGUGCUUGGGGGGAGCCCUGUGAUGUCACAUCAGGAGCCCAGAGAUGGCAGAUAUUUUUCCCCGAACAAUUUGAGGACCACAGGAACCAGGGAGGUCGCAGAACUAGGGAGGAGACAAGCCGUGGCAGAGCUGGGUGACAGCCAGGAGGACAC